rnacentral:tRNA from 1 species
GGUUCCGUAGCUCAGCUGGAUAGAGCAACAGCCUUCUAAGCUGUGGGUCCCGGGUUCGAAUCCCGGCGGGAUCA